rnacentral:lncRNA from 1 species
GUGUGUUCAUGGUGGGUAUCCUCAGGUUGGACUCACCGACUCUGGUUCAACAGUUGUGUUAGAUGCUCACAGAUGCCCUCAGCCCAGGAACCUUUGCAGAUUACCACCCAGCCAGAUGCAGGAAGAAGGGAAACAGGAUAAAAACAUCAUAUUUAGAGGAAGACAUAAACUCCCAUCUUUGCUUUUGGAUGGUAGUUUCAGGACAUCAUGAACCAAAGGCUAUGACUAAUGUACCACUGUGCAUCUGAGAUACCGAGAAAACACACAGAAAAUAGAUGAAACUCUCAAUUCAUGAAAGCUAAUAAAAGAACAAUAUCCAAGAAAUGAGAGGAAUGGAGAUUAAUAAAGACAAGAACAGACAUUAAAGAAAUAAAAUAACAGCAAAAUGAAAACAGAUGAAAUGAUCAAUGGAAAAGAAAAACUUGUUCUUUGAAAAGACCAAUGGCAGAGACAAUUCUUUGGAGAAUGUGAUUAAGAACAUAAAAAACGGGUCAAUAAUGUGCUAGGAUAUGCAUUAAGUAUACAAUAAAUCAGAAUUUGACUUCAAAACUACUAUUUAAAAUCUCUGGUGUAUAGAACACUAUACUACCCUAGAAAGCA